CUGAGUACGACGGAGCACGUGAAAUUCCGUCGGAAUCUGGGAGGACCAUCUCCUAAGGCUAAAUACUCUCUAGUGACCGAUAGUGAACCAGUACCGUGAGGGAAAGGUGAAAAGCACCCCGGAAGGGGAGUGAAAUAGAACCUGAAACCGUGUGCUUACAAGUAGUCAGAGCCCGUUAAUGGGUGAUGGCGUGCCUUUUGUAGAAUGAACCGGCGAGUUACGAUUUGAUGCAAGGUUAAGCAGUAAAUGUGGAGCCGUAGCGAAAGCGAGUCUGAAUAGGGCGUUUAGUAUUUGGUCGUAGACCCGAAACCAGGUGAUCUACCCUUGGUCAGGUUGAAGUUCAGGUAACACUGAAUGGAGGACCGAACCGACUUACGUUGAAAAGUGAGCGGAUGAACUGAGGGUAGCGGAGAAAUUCCAAUCGAACCUGGAGAUAGCUGGUUCUCUCCGAAAUAGCUUUAGGGCUAGCCUCAAGUGAUGAUUAUUGGAGGUAGAGCACUGUUUGGACGAGGGGCCCCUCUCGGGUUACCGAAUUCAGACAAACUCCGAAUGCCAAUUAAUUUAACUUGGGAGUCAGAACAUGGGUGAUAAGGUCCGUGUUCGAAAGGGAAACAGCCCAGACCACCAGCUAAGGUCCCAAAAUAUAUGUUAAGUGGAAAAGGAUGUGGCGUUGCCCAGACAACUAGGAUGUUGGCUUAGAAGCAGCCAUCAUUUAAAGAGUGCGUAAUAGCUCACUAGUCGAGUGACACUGCGCCGAAAAUGUACCGGGGCUAAACAUAUUACCGAAGCUGUGGAUUGUCCUUUGGACAAUGGUAGGAGAGCGUUCUAAGGGCGUUGAAGCAUGAUCGUAAGGACAUGUGGAGCGCUUAGAAGUGAGAAUGCCGGUGUGAGUAGCGAAAGACGGGUGAGAAUCCCGUCCACCGAUUGACUAAGGUUUCCAGAGGAAGGCUCGUCCGCUCUGGGUUAGUCGGGUCCUAAGCUGAGGCCGACAGGCGUAGGCGAUGGAUAACAGGUUGAUAUUCCUGUACCACCUAUAAUCGUUUUAAUCGAUGGGGGGACGCAGUAGGAUAGGCGAAGCGUGCGAUUGGAUUGCACGUCUAAGCAGUAAGGCUGAGUAUUAGGCAAAUCCGGUACUCGUUAAGGCUGAGC
rnacentral:rRNA from 1 species